GAGAGAUUGUGAAAUCAUGAAAAUGGUUUGUUGUUGUCUGAAGGAAUAACCUAUGCGACAAAAAAAAAAAAAAAAAUGUAUACAAUUCAACGGCGAUCUUUCUUUUUGCGUCGCUAGGCUAGCGAAGUUAUCCUGUGGAAAUCACUGCUCCUCCGCAGCAGUUUAGCGGUUUUGUCGUUAAAUACUGCAAACCCAAACGAAAUAUAGACACUCUUGGAGAUCCCAUAAAGAGCAACAGUAGAACCCAACCUAUCUAGAGAUCCCAUAAAGGCCUCUCACUGUGCUGAGGCAGGCUAACGUCUAAUUUCUGCUCUGACUGUCCGUGUCGAUCAGAAUGGUUUCAAG
ensembl:lncRNA